CCCCUAGAUGUUCUGGGCCGCACGCGCGCUACACUGAACAGUUCAACAAGUCUUAACCUUGGCCGAUAAGUCUGGGUAAUCUUUGAACGCUGUUCGUGAUUGGGAUAGACCUUUGCAAUUAUGGGUCUUCAACGAGGAAUUCCUAGUAAACGCAAGUCAUCAGCUUGCAUUGAUUACGUCCCUGCCCUUUGUACACACCGCCCGUCGCACCUACCGAUUGAAUGGUCCGGUGAAAUCUCGGGACGGCGGCUUGGUCGCUUGCGUCCGACUGCUGAAACUUGAUUAAACCAUAUCAUUUAGAGGAAGGUGAANUCGUANCA
rnacentral:rRNA from 1 species